ACAGUGCAGUAUUUGGAGUCUGCUGCAGUUUCUUCUUCUCUUUCUGUUUUUAGAACAUUAAUAGAAAGCUGCUCCUACUCACUGACACAGUCCACCUUAUAUAACUGAUCUGCAGUCAGCUGUCUGUCUGUCUGUCUGUCUGUCUGUCUCUCUGUCUGUCUGUCUGUCUGUCUCUCUGUCUCUCUGUCUGUCUGUCUCUCUGUAAAUGGACCUCUACUUGUAUAGUUUCCUUUCUUGUCUUCCAACCACUCACAGUGCUUUUUCAGCCUUACACACACACACACACACACACACACACACACACACACACACACACACACACACACUCACACACACUUCGACAUUCAGCGGGAAGAGCUGGGGAAUCGAACCAACAACCUCCCGAUCAGUGGACGACCCUGUAUGGCAGAGGUUUCAGGUCUCUUUGAAGCCGAUCAGUGAUCAGGGAUCAGUUGGAGCUCUGUGGAGCUAGCAGGAGGAGGUCUGGAGGUCUGUGUGGAGCUAGCAGGAGGAGGUCUGGAGGUCUGUGUGGAGCUAGCAGGAGGAGGUCUGGAGGUCUGUGUGGAGCUAGCAGGAGGAGGUCUGGAGGUCUGGAGGUCUUUGUGGAGCUAGCAGGAGGAGGUCUGGAGGUCUGUGUGGAGCUAGCAGGAGGAGGUCUGGAGGUCUGGAGGUCUGUGUGGAGCUAGCAGGAGGAGGUCUGGAGGUCUGUGUGGAGCUAGCAGGAGGAGGUCUGGAGGUCUGUGUGGAGCUAGCAGGAGGAGGUCUGGAGGUCUGUGUGGAGCUAGCAGGAGGAGGUCUGGAGGUCUGUGUGGAGCUAGCAGGAGGAGGUCUGGAGGUCUGUGUGGAGCUAGCAGGAGGAGGUCUGGAGGUCUGUGUGGAGCUAGCAGGAGGAGGUCUGGAGGUCUGUGUGGAGCUAGCAGGAGGAGGUCUGGAGGUCUGUGUGGAGCUAGCAGGAGGAGGUCUGGGGGUCUGUGUGUGCUGGUAGCUCAUCUGCUGCAUGUGGUUUGGAUGUGGUUUCCAUGGCAACUCCACACCUACAGCUCCAAAAGAAACAGGGCUGGUUGCCAGUGGCAACGCUUCCCACUGAAAUCCAUCACUGAACAACAGAAAGCUCUGCAGCAGC